CGGCGCGGGAUUCGAUUAGAGUUUGAUCCUGGCUCCUUUGAACGCUGGCGGCGUGCUUAACACAUGCAAGUCGACCGGUAACGCGGGGCAACCUGGCGACGAGUGGCGAACGGGUGAGUAAUGCAUCGGAACGUGCCCAGUAGUGGGGGAUAGCCCGGCGAAAGCCGGAUUAAUACCGCAUACGACCUAAGGGUGAAAGCGGGGGAUCGCAAGACCUCGCGCUAUUGGAGCGGCCGAUGUCAGAUUAGGUAGUUGGUGGGGUAAAGGCCUACCAAGCCGACGAUCUGUAGCUGGUCUGAGAGGACGACCAGCCACACUGGGACUGAGACACGGCCCAGACUCCUACGGGAGGCAGCAGUGGGGAAUUUUGGACAAUGGGCGCAAGCCUGAUCCAGCCAUGCCGCGUGCGGGAAGAAGGCCUUCGGGUUGUAAACCGCUUUUGUCAGGGAAGAAAUCCUCUGAGCUAAUACCUCGGGGGGAUGACGGUACCUGAAGAAUAAGCACCGGCUAACUACGUGCCAGCAGCCCCGGUCAA
rnacentral:rRNA from 1 species